UCGUCCUACGGGAGGCAGCAGUAGGGAAUCUUCCACAAUGGGCGAAAGCCUGAUGGAGCAACGCCGCGUGGGUGAAGAAGGUCUUCGGAUCGUAAAACCCUGUUGUUAGAGAAGAAAGUGCGUGAGAGUAACUGUUCACGUUUCGACGGUAUCUAACCAGAAAGCCACGGCUAACUACGAGCCAGCAGCCGCGGUAAUACGAAGGUGGCAAGCGUUAGCCGGAUUUAUUGGGCGUAAAGGGAACGCAGG
rnacentral:rRNA from 1 species